AUGCUUGUCUCAAAGAUUAAGCCAUGCAUGUCUAAGUAUAAGUUCUAUACAGCGAAACUGUGAAUGGCUCAUUAUAACAGUUAUGAUUUCCUAGCCGGUCAGUUAUUCAUUGGAUACCCAUGGUAAUUCUAGAGCUAAUACAUGCUUACAGACCCAACUUCACGGAAGGGUUGCACUUAUUAGAUACCGAACCAGCCCAAGCUCUGCUUGGUUUUUGUUGAUUCAUAGUAGUCUGGCGAAUCGCCUAUCGAGGCGAUGAGGCUAUCAAGUUUCUGACCUAUCAGCUUCCGACGGUAGGGUAUUGGCCUACCGUGGCUUUAACGGGUAACGGAGAAUUAGGGUUCGAUUCCGGAGAGGGAGCCUGAGAAACGGCUACCACAUCUAAGGAAGGCAGCAGGCGCGUAAAUUACCCAAUCCUGACUCAGGGAGGUAGUGACAAGAAAUAUCAAUAUAAGACUUCUAUGUCUUGUAAUUGGGAUGAGCGAAACAUAAACCGCUUCUCGAGUAUCAAUU
rnacentral:rRNA from 1 species